UUGCACUUGUCGGGGAAGGGUGAGAACCUUCGAUUAAGGUUCGACUCGAGCGAAAGCGAGAGAACGUUGCCAACGGCAACGGCCCGAAGGGUGAGGAGCGAAGCGACGAAUAAUCCUUCCCCCACCACCA
rnacentral:sRNA from 1 species